UACGAAGGGGGCUAGCGUUGCUCGGAAUCACUGGGCGUAAAGGGUGCGUAGGCGGGUCUUUUAAGUCAGGGGUGAAAUCCUGGAGCUCAACUCCAGAACUGCCUUUGAUACUGAGGAUCUUGAGUUCGGGAGAGGUGAGUGGAACUGCGAGUGUAGAGGUGAAAUUCGUGGAUAUUCGCAAGAACACCAGUGGCGAAGGCGGCUCACUGGCCCGAUACUGACGCUGAGGCACGAAAGCGUGGGGAGCAAACAGG
rnacentral:rRNA from 1 species